rnacentral:pre_miRNA from 1 species
AACUACCCUGUCGAACUAGGGCAGUUCGACAAGUAUCGAUACCCAGUUCGAUAGGUACCCCUGUCGAACUGCCGCAGUUCGACAUGGCG